rnacentral:lncRNA from 1 species
AAAGGACAAGGUAUGAUAAGGGCCGUUUCUGGCCCCCCUUUUUCCAGAAUUUUUAAACUUUGAAGUUGAAACCCAUCACGCCUGUGUAAUGAACUGCAAUAUCUGCUCGUCCAUGUAGAACCUUAUUUUUAGGUGUUAUGUACUCAAAUAUGUUCAAACUUGUAUCUUGAAAAGGCUUAAACGGCGAAAAAUGUAAAAAUUCUACAAUUUCGUCAUGUUCGGAGACAAAAUUUGACAUCAGCGCCAACGUAGACCAUCUUGAAAUUUUCAACCACCAACUGUACUCUUGUGUAUCUUUCACAUUAUAAAAUAUCAUGGUGGUCUACGUUGGCGCUCAUGUCUAAAAAUUUGAAAAAUAAUCCGAUUGUUUACAAUUUUGACAAGUCAUUAUCAUAAUACGUCAAAGUGAACGGCACGGGUACGAAAUUAUUCCGGGAUCCAUAAAUGUUCAGAAUAUCACGUACGGAUAGUUUUACGUCGUAUCCAGUCAUCAAGACAUGUCACUCUCUUAAAAAAAUAUGUUGUACGUGAAAUUAGACCCAUAUAAAUCAAAAUAGUCUAACACUGCAGCCAAAUACAGAGUAGUGUCCCUUGAAAUAUGGUGAAUUAAUUUUUAAUAAUUUUUAUUUUCAAAUAUUCAACGAAAUCUUACAAAUGAAUUUUAUAGUAAAUUCACAAUAUAUUCAAACUCUUUUUAUAGUUCUGGAGAAAAUCGUUUCAUCAAAACUUAUAUAUUUUGCACUUUGAAGUUUUCUAUUUAACCAUCUACAGAAAAAUAGAUUUAUGUAUCAUAUCUAUUUCGUUCAAAUCUCUGUGGUAAUAUUUAAAAUGUGCAAUAUAUCUAACAAAAAAAUAUGUCCAUUGUCCAUUAAAAAGUAGUUAUUGGAACAGAGAAAUAAGAAUAUUACAAUGAUUUGUUGAUAGACAACAGGCGCGGAU